rnacentral:lncRNA from 1 species
GUUCAGAGAAUUCCAACUUCUUACAAGAACAGAUAUUUAUAAGAAAACAAGGCACAUUUUGGAAUCCUAUUCAGAAAAUAUACUGACUUCUUUUUCAGUGGUGGACAAUCCAAUCAAUAUUGUAUUGCAAGAAAAAAUGAAACAUUACACAGAUGAAGACAUGUUGAAAUACAUGAAGAUGACAGCCACAUGUUUACUCCUCCCAGAUGUUUUUGGGGAUGAUCCCAGCCUUUUUGUCAUCAUGAAUGAACAGGUGCAAGUGUCCACACCUGUGUUGGAAGUUAAAAACCCUUUCAACAUGGAGGUCUGCGAAUUUUCUUUAUAUUUAGAAAGGGAGAGGCUCACAAAGGUGGACGACUGUGUUACAGCCUUGGCUGCGCUAGUAGCUGCCUUUCAUGUAUUUAGGAUUGAGUGUCCAAGAAGACUGUCCCAAACUUUCAACUUCCUAGAAACGCUGAUUUUCGAUAUGCACAGUCCUUAUUUUCCUUCUUUGAAAGAAAAGGAAAACGAAGUAGGAUUUCAGCACCCACUCACUUAAUAGCAUGCCAAAUAUUGUACUGGAAUUUACCUCUGGGAAAACUGAAGCUUCAUAAGAAAUUGUUUUGAUUUAGGGUUGUGGUAGAGGUAUACAUCCCUAUGGCUGAAGUUGAAUGACAGCCUCUCUCAGGCCAUGACAGGAUGACAAGGUGAGCUACAAGGAAACUGCAGUGAAGUUUGGCUCCAAGCAUGACACAGACAUGGGCUGACCUUGAAGAAAAAAAAAGACUAAACGCUACCUACGCUCAAUGUUCCACACCUCUUAAGCCAGUAAUCCUGUAUCUGGUGUCGGGCAGCAAAGAAAAUAAAAUAUACCUCGUCUGUGCUCCAUUUGGAAACUUUACUGGCAGGGAUUCCUGCGACAGUUGGAA